rnacentral:rRNA from 1 species
GAUGAACGCUGACAGAAUGCUUAACACAUGCAAGUCCACUUGAACUUCGGUUUGGGUGGCGGACGGGUGAGUAACGCGUAAAGAACUUGCCUCACAGAUAGGGACAACAUUUGGAAACGAAUGCUAAUACCUGAUAUUAUGAUUAUAUGGCAUCGUAUAAUUAUGAAAGCUAUAUGCGCUGUGAGAGAGCUUUGCGUCCCAUUAGCUAGUUGGAGAGGUAACGGCUCACCAAGGCGAUGAUGGGUAGCCGGCCUGAGAGGGUGAUCGGCCACAAGGGGACUGAGACACGGCCCUUACUCCUACGGGAGGCAGCAGUGGGGAAUAUUGGACAAUGGACCAAGAGUCUGAUCCAGCAAUUCUGUGUGCACGAUGAAGUUUUUCGGAAUGUAAAGUGCUUUCAGUUGGGAAGAAAAAAAUGACGGUACCAACAGAAGAAGUGACGGCUAAAUACGU